rfam:Brachypodium distachyon strain Bd21 chromosome 1, whole genome shotgun sequence.
UUUGUACUCCCUCCGUCCAACGAAGAAUGUCUCAACUUUGACUAAAUUAAAUGUAUGUAUACACUAAGUCAUGUCUAGAUACAUCCAAAUUUUGACAAACUUGACACAUCUUUUGUUGGACGGAGGGAGUAGAAA